UGGGGAAUAUUGCACAAUGGGGGAAACCCUGAUGCAGCGACGCCGCGUGAGCGAAGAAGGUUUUCGAAUCGUAAAGCUCUGUCCUAUGGGAAGAUAAUGACGGUACCAUAGGAGGAAGCCCCGGCUAACUACGUGCCAGCAGCCGCGGUAAUACGUAGGGGGCAAGCGUUGUCCGGAAUCACUGGGCGUAAAGGGUUCGCAGGCGGAAAUGCAAGUCAGUUGUGAAAGGCAGAGGCUCAACCUCUGUAAGCAAUUGAAACUGUAUUUCUUGAGAUGUGGAGAGGCAAGUGGAAUUCCUAGUGUAGCGGUGAAAUGCGUAGAUAUUAGGAAGAAUACCGGUGACGAAGGCGACUUGCUGGACACAAACUGACGCUGAGGAACGAAAGCGUGGGUAGCAAACAGG
rnacentral:rRNA from 1 species